rnacentral:tRNA from 1 species
GGAGAGGUGCGAGAGUGGUUGAAUCGGGCGGUCUCGAAAACCGUUGUCCUCAUUAGAGGACCGUGGGUUCGAAUCCCACCCUCUCCG